rnacentral:snRNA from 1 species
AUGCCUUAAACUUAUGAGUAAGGAAAGUAAUAAUUUGGGGUGGUGCCCGGAUCCUCACUGCUAACGUGAGACGGAUUUCUGAGCGGAACCACUAUCUGCCUGCCCCCCUUUCACACUGGAAGAGCAGACUGGGAUGAAGGUCAUGAAUGGGGUUGAGAAGGGGGCAGGGGUGGGUGG